rnacentral:tRNA from 1 species
GCCUCAGUGGCUUAGCGGUUAGAGCAUGCGGCUGUUAACCGCAGGGUCGUAGGUUCAAUUCCUACCUGAGGCG